CAGAAUCCUGAGAAAAACAGCAUCUAAGAAAUAUGCAGAGAAAGAGAACUAACAGCAGAGACAAAGCAGUGACUAGACAGAAAAACCAAGAGGUUAUUGCGGCAAGGAAAUGGUCUCAAGGAAGCAACAAAAAAGAGUGUUUCAAGACGAGAGUAAUGACCACAAAACCUAAUGCUGGGAUAAACACAAGUAAGAUAAAAAUCUAAAAAGUGUUCAUUGUGCAACAAGACAGGCAUAGAUUCAGUGGAUCAGUGAAGUAGUGGAGGAGAGUGGCAUGCUCCAUCCAGAUCUCUAUAGGGCCCAAACAUCCAUCCCCAGCUGCUCUGAAUAUCUGUUAGUCCUCAGCUGUGUCCCUUAGUGAGAAUUGUCUUCAGCCAACAGAGGACUUCCUUGCCCAGAGUUAUGCCCUCCCCAGAGGAUGGCCUGUGACCAAAUACUUGCUGAUGUGAGAAUACAAAGAACCUCUUCUCUCAAUUUGAGAUAACUCUGAAAAGCCAUCUUAGUUUCAUAGCUCUUAUAGCUUUAGCUGAGAUUGCAAUUGUACUUGCAGAAUGAGUCAGUUUCUCCCUUUGCCCAAUUCUACCUUCAUCACUUUCUUACAAGUGAAUCUCCCAAGGAUAAUUUCCAAUAAACUUUCUGCUCACAAUUUCUCAUAUCGGAGUCAAUUUCAGGAAAUUUAAUCUAAACUAGCUGGUACAAGAAGUAGUCCUACAAAGUAGACUCUAAAUUGGGUUUUGGAGGUGGAUCUCUCACUGGCAAGCUGGCAAUGAGGAUAGUAGUUGUAGUAUGGAUAGCUCCUGCCAUGCUAUGAUAGUACAAUUGUUAAAACUUUCACUGAUGGUGAGCUUGGAUAGAAUACCAGUAGAAAAGGAUAUGCUGACUAAUGGAAUAUCUCUGACACUUGACAGGAAUGAGUUCAAAUACAUCCUGAAAUUGGGUGGCUAUGGCUGAUUAUCAUUGAAUAAAGAUAAAGAUGGGCUUGAGGUGAGAAAUCACCAAUUAAAGACAAAAUAUGAGAGUCAGAGGGACUUCUUGGCAAGUUUUAUGAAAAUCCUAAUCUCCUAAAGCCAGAGGGAGGAGAGGAUCGGGCUCAUGAUUUAUUGAUAAGAGCAGAAGAACUUCAAAAAGGUUAAAUUUUCAGCUCUGAAAUUUUUUCUGCAUACUGAUAGAACCCUAAUAGGAAAAGCAGAGACCCUGGAAGGGAUAAAUGGUAUUGAAUAUCUUGAGCUCCCAGAGUUCCAUAAAACCAUUGUGCCUGAAGAUGUGGCCCAUUCCCUCUAAUUAAAAUAUAGUGGCUGUCCCCCUUGCUUGAAGAUCAUGCAGAGGCCUCAAAUGCAUCAGCAGCUCAAAAAGCAAUGUUUGCCCUCUUUAAACUGUAUUCCUACUUCCCUGGCAGGCGAUCACAUUAAGGGUUAAAUCCAAGCAAUGAACAAAGGAGAAGCCAGGGCCUGAUGGGGAAGGAACCUAGAAAACUGCAGUUCAAUUCAGGAUCACUUACAACUUCCCUAGGGGAUCAUAACCAUUUGCUCAGUGAGAGGAAAACUUCUGGAUGGGCAGAGCUCCCAGUAAUGGACUUGGUCAGCCAUUUUGUAUGGAACGAGAAACAGCCUGAGACUACUACUGCUAUUCAGUCUUCCAGAAUCCUUGUGCCAAGAAACCAGCAGGGAAGGAAAGGAGGCACCACCCUGGAAGA
rnacentral:lncRNA from 1 species